rnacentral:rRNA from 1 species
GACAGAGGGUGCAAACGUUGUUCGGAAUUACUGGGCGUAAAGCGAGUGUAGGCGGUUUGGAAAGUCGGAUGUGAAAGCCCCGGGCUCAACCCGGGAAGUGCACUCGAUACUCCCAAGCUAGAGUAUCGGAGAGGUUGGUGGAAUUCUCGGUGUAGAGGUGAAAUUCGUAGAUAUCGAGAGGAACACCGGUGGCGAAGGCGGCCAACUGGACGAAUACUGACGCUGAGACUCGAAAGUGUGGGGAGCGAACAGG